GCAAGUCGAACGGUAACAUGAAGUGCUUGCACUUUGAUGACGAGUGGCGCACGGGUGCGUAACGCGUAUACAAUCUACCUUUUACAGGGGGAUAGCCUUUAGAAAUGAAGAUUAAUACCCCAUGGUAUAAUGAUUUGGCAUCAAAUUAUUAUUAAAGUUUCGGCGGUAAAAGAUGAGUAUGCGUUCUAUUAGCUAGAUGGUGUGGUAACGGCACACCAUGGCGACGAUAGAUAGGGGCCCUGAGAGGGGGAUC
rnacentral:rRNA from 1 species